CGUGAGAUGUUGGGUUAAGUCCCGUAACGAGCGCAACCCUUGUCCUUAGUUACCAGCACCUCGGGUGGGCACUCUAAGGAGACUGCCGGUGACAAACCGGAGGAAGGUGGGGAUGACGUCAAGUCAUCAUGGCCCUUACGGCCAGGGCUACACACGUGCUACAAUGGUCGGUACAAAGGGUUGCCAAGCCGCGAGGUGGAGCUAAUCCCAUAAAACCGAUCGUAGUCCGGAUCGCAGUCUGCAACUCGACUGCG
rnacentral:rRNA from 1 species